rnacentral:rRNA from 1 species
GAACGGUGCGUAACGCGUGGGAAUCUGCCGAAUAGUUCACUCCAAAUCCUGAAUAAUUCAUAAAGCAAGCUAAUUCGCGCUGUUCGAUGAGCCCACGUAGUAUCAGGUAGUUGGUUAGGUAAAGGCUGACCAAGCCAAUGAUGCUUAGCUGGUCUUUUCGGAUGAUAGCCACACUGGGACUGAGACACGGCCCAGACUCCCUCGGGGGGCAGCAGUGGGGAAUAUUGGACAAUGGGCUCACGCCCGAUCCAGCAAUAUCGCGUGGGUGAAGAAGGGCACUGUCGCUUGUCAAGCUCUUUCGUCGAGUUUCGAUCAUGACAGGACUCGAGGAAGAAGCCCCGGCUAACUCCGUGCCAGCAGCCGCGGCAAUACGGGGGGGGCAAGUGUUAUUCGGAAUGACUGGCCGUAAAGGGCACGUACGCGGUGAAAAGGGU